rnacentral:lncRNA from 1 species
CGCAAGGGCAACCAGGUCCUGUGAACUCGACUUCCUCCCUCGUCUCCACCAUUGCGCAGGCGCAAAUUAUCACAUUCAGCCCUUCCCACCGCUUCCCGCCCUUCUUUGAAACUUCUGGCGUCCUGUUGUGGGCGGAAAAAACGCCUCUAUCUCUCUGCGCAGGCGCAGCCUGUCCGGAGCCAAUGAAUGAGUACAGAGAAACAAGAAAAUUAUAUGAACUGAUGGAAAGUAAAUUGAACCAAGAAAACAAGAUACAUGAUUACAAGAAUGUACAAGUAACGAACAACAAAAAGGUCCUAGGUUGAAGGCUGUGAAAGUAUAAUGAUCUGAGAAGGGGGAAGCUAAUCUCCCUCCUGAAGGCAAGGAACAGACUCUCCACAUUCCAGAUUAUUAGAAAGAAUGAUCACUCCUAAAGGAAUCAGAAGUGAAGCCCCCAGUGCAGAAGAAAAAUGGUAUCUGAGGUGGAGGGAAGAUAACUCUUGUCAGGAUGAUGAAGCAUGAAAGAAUGCAUUGCUUUUACAAUUGGAUUUAAGAUUGAAGAGAAAGGAGUUGGAUACCAUGAAGAAGUUGUACAAUAAUGGCCACUGAAGUCCCUUCCAUAUCUUAAAUUUUAUGAUUCUGUGAUUUUGUGGCUUGAUGACCUCUAAGAUUUCUUAGGUUUAUGAUCUUGGAUGAGAUAUUUUUCUGUGGAAAGAACAAUGCAUUUAGGGUCAUGGGGAUGAAUUUCUAACCAGAAUUUCACAUAUUAAGCUAUGUCUCUUCUGGCAGUAAUAUGGUCAAGUCAUUUAACCUCCCUGUGCCUCAGUUUCUCAAUCUGUAAAAGGUUGAAGUUGGACUAGAUUGCUUUUUGGUGUCAUUUCCAGCCUUAGAUCUUUGAUCCUUGCCUUCCAAACACUUUCUAUGGGGGCAUUAGGAAGAUUUCAAAGCUAAACUUAAGUAAAGUGGUAAGUAAGGGAAAAUUCAAUGUUCAUAUGCUAUAAUAGGGGCAAUAAUGUAGCUUUUAAGUCAUACCUGGAAUAAAGGUCAUUGAAAAGACA